GCUGCUAGUUCCAUGCUGUAGCUGAGGAUGCUGGAGUGGUUUGUGUGUCCUGCUUUGUAUGCUACUGCUGGGUGCUGUGAGGGGAAUUCAGGCGAGCUCUGACCUCGCGACAUGCCUUCUAUGUUUGAGAGAAUCAGAGCUACACUGAGGAGCCUGUAAGACCUUCCUGCAUGAAAAUGUGAGGUUGAAGCCUGAGUUGCAAUUUGAGACCAAAAGAUGCUGAUCCAUCUGAGUGAUGAGACAUCUGCAGGGACCGCUGUGUGUAGGGAGUGGAAGUAACCAAAGAGGAAGAUUUAUGAGAAGUUGAAGGAGCAGGGCCAUCUAAGUCCUUUGAACCUGAUCUGCAUGAGUCUGAGACACAGCUACAGGAUUGGGAUGCAUUGACCUUUGAUGAUGUGCAUGUACACUUCACUCGGGAGGAGUGGUCCUUGCUGGAUCCAUCUCAGAAGAGACUUUACAAAGAUGUCAUGCUGGAGAACUACAGGAAUCUCACCACUAUAGGCUACAAUUGGAAAGAUCAUAACAUUGAAGAACAUUCUCAAAAUGAUAGAAGAUACGGAAGGCACAAAAUCACUCCUGCUGGAGAGAAACCCUAUGAAUAUACACAAUGGGAUAAAGCCUUCAAAUAUCACAGUCAUCUUCAAAAGCUUGAAAGAAACCAAACUGGAGACAAAAACUCGGAAGUCUUUCAACAUAGUAAAGUGCUUACAUGUCAAAGUACUCUCCAAAGAAAUAAAAGAACAGAUACUAGAGAGAAACCCUACAAAUGUAAUGAAUGUGAUAAAGCCUUUUUAAAGCUCAAGUAUCUUCGACUACAUGAAAGAAUAUAUUCUGGGAAGAAACCCUAUGAAUGUAAUCAAUGUGGUAAAGCCUUUUUACAUCCCAGCUAUCUUCGAAUGCAUGAAAGAACACAUACUGGAGAGAAACCUUACCAAUGUAAUCAAUGUGGCAAAGCCUUUACACGAAGGAGUCAUCUUCAAAGCCAUAAAGUAGUACAUACUGGAGAGAGACCCUACAUAUGUAAUCAGUGUAAUAAAGCCUAUCCACGCAAGAGUUGUCUCCGAAAACAUGAAAGAACACAUACUGGAGAGAAACCUUACAAAUGUGAUCAGUGUGGUAAGGCCUUUACACAAAGCAGUCAUCUUAAAACCCAUAAAGUAAUACAUACUGGAGGGAGACUCUAAAUAUGUAAUCAGUGUGAUGAAGCCUAUUCACACCCGAGUCAUCUUCCAAAACAUGAAAGAACACAUACUGGAGAGAAACCUUAUAAAUAAAUCAGUGUCAUAAGUCAUUUAUAUCUCACAGUCAUCAUCAAGCUGAUGAAAGAAUUUAUACUGGAUAGAAACCCUACAAAUGUAAUGAAUGUGAUAAAGCCUUUUCACAGCCCAGGUAUCUUCGAAUACAUGAAAGAACACAUACGGGAGAGAAACCUUACAAAUGUUAUCAGUGUGAUAAAGCAUUUCCACAAGGCAAUAAUCUCAAAGUACAUACAAGGAGGCAUAUUGGAGAUAUCCCUAUGAAUGAAAUCAAUGUGGUAAAGCCUUUGUAUAUGACUAAUCUUUUGGGAUCCAUAAAAGAACAGAUAAUGGAGACUGGAGAGAAACAUUACCAACAUAAUCAAUGUGGUAAAGCCUUUGCAGAAAGCAGUCAUCUUCAAACCCAUAAAGUACUACAUACUGGAGUGUAACCUCCCCCCCUCAGCUCAAAGUCUUCCCUGCAGCUCCAGAACUUCCAGACCAUGAUACCACCACGUGUUAGCUGAGGUAUAACCAUGCCAUAAUUUCUAUUCUCCAUGUUUUAGUCCAUGUCAGCCUAGGUCAUGUAGACACCUGUCCAGUAUAAACACACAAGCACACAUAUGCACACACACACACAAAGAGAGAGAGAAAGGAUUUGCAUGAGGAGCAUGGGUUUUGCUUCAAACAGAAUCGAAGCAUAGUCUAUUUAGAGUCCAGUGCUAGGAGUCAUCAAGGUAGACAAUCAACUUUUGGAGUCACCAUUAUGAACAAGGACCUGAAAGAGCCAGGGUUUUAAAAUUUCCCAGCCUGUAUUAAUACUGUGUAUGUGAAUGAAGGGUGAUCACAUUGGUGGGUAUACUAUUUGGGGAGGUUUGCUUCAUCGAAUAAAUAUUGAAUUCCCA
rnacentral:lncRNA from 1 species